AAUACCCCUAACAACACACAACAUUCCAGGAAUGUACUACCAAAGUUCUAUCAAUAUUUGAAUGUCCUGGACAUUUAGGGAACAUUCGGUGAACAUCUGUUUAAAUUAUUCCUGGAAUGUUACCAUAAGACAUUCUGUGAACAUACUACCAAUGUUCCUAUAUUUUAAGUUGCGAAAUAAUACAUACGUGUAAGAGAUACAACAUUACUUAUAACAUACCAGACAAACUAAGUGACAUUUUAGGCCUACAGUGCAAUAAUAUGUCAAAUUUAAAGAGUUUCCCAAGUUCAAUUAAUACAAUAUUAUAAACAUACAAAUGUAAUAAAAAUUAUUGUUCGCGAAUAUUCAAUUUGGAAUGCGAUUUUGUUAAUAAAAAAAAUACUUAUAACUUAUGCAAAACCCAAGAGAGGCAUUUAUAUUUAUUUCUUUUGCGUUCAUUUUCAAAUUCGCCGUGCAUACAUUUUUGUGCAUGGCGCUUGAGAGGGCAUCACGUGACUAAAAACGACCAACCAACGACCUCGCUUCGGCCAUCUUGGCAUCUUCAUCUGUCAUCUUCAUCUUGGCGACCUUGCCUUGCCGUGGAUUAUUGUUUGUAUUAUUUGUGCUUUUUAAGAAUAUUUUUUUAAUUCGGAUACUUUUAUAAUAGCUUUAAUAGUAUUAUUAACAUAAUGCAUAAAAUGGUGUCCUGUUUUUAACGCCGUUGGAGUAGCAGAAACAAAUGUAGAUAAAAAAAUCUGCAGGAAUAACGUUUCAAUUAUGACAGAAGCUCCAAACAAAUGACUGUGAAUGAAAAGCCCUAUUAAAAGCUUUCCAGAAGAUCCUGCGAAGAAGACAUGAAGUAUAGAUCAGAUUUGUUAAUAGAGGAGUAUGUUCAAAACACUUUUUAGAAAAAGAUAUUGACAGAACUUCACUUUCAUCUGUUCGUUUGAGAGACUGUGCUGUUCCAAUAGCUUAUGUCACACAGAAUCAGCUGAGAGAAGUGGUCUACAAAAAACCAGAAAGGAAAUGGAAUAUGUGGCUACGAAAAGCAAAAGAUAGGUUUACAAAGCAAAUGUGACACAUUUUUUUUAUAAUAUUUAGGAAUGUCAGCAAAUUACAUUAAAAAAUGUAUGUAAAGAUUUUUUGCAAUAAAAAUGUUUUAUAUUUA
rnacentral:lncRNA from 1 species